AGCAGCCGCGGUAAUUCCAGCUCCAAUAGCGUAUAUUAAAGUUGUUGCAGUUAAAAAGCUCGUAGUUGAAUUUCGGGAUUCGUCGGUUGGUCGGGCUUCACUGUCCGCACUGACCUGACGGGUUCCUACCUUCUGAAUAACCAGCAUGCUAUUAAGUUAGUGCGUUGGGGAAGCAGAGCUAUUACCUUGAAAAAAUUAGAGUGCUUAAAGCAGGCUUGUGCUUGAAUAGAUUAGCAUGGAAUAAUAAAAUAGGACGGCAUGGUUCUAUUUUGUUGGUUUCUAGGAUCGACGUAAUGAUUAAUAGGGAUAGUUGGGGGCAUUAGUAUUCAAUUGUCAGAGGUGAAAUUCUUGGAUUUAUUGAAGACUAACUUCUGCGAAAGCAUUUGCCAAGGAUGUUUUCAUUAAUCAAGAACGAAAGUUAGGGGAUCGAAGACGAUCAGAUACCGUCGUAGUCUUAACCAUAAACUAUGCCGACUAGGGAUCGGACGAUGUUAAUUUUUUAAUGACUCG
rnacentral:rRNA from 1 species